rnacentral:rRNA from 1 species
ACGCGAGAGAGGGAGCUUGCUUCCUUGAUCGAGUGGCGAACGGGUGAGUAACGCGUGAGGAACCUGCCUCAAAGAGGGGGACAACAGUUGGAAACGACUGCUAAUACCGCAUAAGCCCACGGCUCGGCAUCGAGCAGAGGGAAAAGGAGCAAUCCGCUUUGAGAUGGCCUCGCGUCCGAUUAGCUAGUUGGUGAGGUAAUGGCCCACCAAGGCGACGAUCGGUAGCCGGACUGAGAGGUUGAACGGCCACAUUGGGACUGAGACACGGCCCAGACUCCUACGGGAGGCAGCAGUGGGGAAUAUUGCACAAUGGGGGAAACCCUGAUGCAGCGACGCCGCGUGGAGGAAGAAGGUCUUCGGAUUGUAAACUCCUGUUGUUGAGGAAGAUAAUGACGGUACUCAACAAGGAAGUGACGGCUAACUACGUGCCAGCAGCCGCGGUAAAACGUAGGUCACAAGCGUUGUCCGGAAUUACUGGGUGUAAAGGGAGCGCAGGCGGGCGAUCAAGUUGGAAGUGAAAUCCAUGGGCUCAACCCAUGAACUGCUUUCAAAACUGAUUGUCUUGAGUAGUGCAGAGGUAGGCGGAAUUCCCGGUGUAGCGGUGGAAUGCGUAGAUAUCGGGAGGAACACCAGUGGCGAAGGCGGCCUACUGGGCACCAACUGACGCUGAGGCUCGAAAGUGUGGGUAGCAAACAGGAUUAGAUACCCUGG